rnacentral:pre_miRNA from 1 species
UAAAUACUCCCUCCGUCCGAAAAUACUUGUCAUCAAAAUGGAUAAAAUGAGAUGUAUCUAAAACUAAAAUACGUCUAGAUACAUUUCCUUUUAUCUAUUUUGAUGACAAGUAUUUCCGGACGGAGGGAGUAUUUG